CUGCUUCUUCAUUAGUGCCUAAGCUGAGUGU
rnacentral:piRNA from 1 species